rnacentral:misc_RNA from 1 species
CCACCAUUGUAAAUCAAAUACUUGCCACGACUAAAUGAAUUCUCUGACUCAACCACGGGAAGCGAAUCAUUCACAUUUUCCCCAACAACAGGUAACAUCACUGCCUGUUGUUGCUGGGCAGGAGUCUUUUCAAAUCCAGGUUUCUGAUUCUUCUUCUUCUUCCUUGCAUUUACACCCGUAUGGUAAUCCCCAAUUCCCACAACACUAAGUGUACAAUUCUCUGACCUAGCUAUCACAAACCGCCUGUAAUCCUUGUAAAAUGCAGCAGUCUUCCCUUCCUUAGGCCUAAAUCGCCAGGCCAUGUCACAACUACUAUCAUUAUUGGCAGGAACCGGUUUCCCAAACCUAUAAAAAUGUAUAUCCUUAAACUGCUCUAUUGCCUUUCUCAUCAUCAAAUGAAACACUUCUGGAUCCCUACAGUCUAUAGGACCAGCACAAUUCUCAGCAGUUAUUUCAGGGGUACCAUCACCACCAGCACCACCAUCCUUGGGGGUUUCUACAUCCGUAAUGUUGAUAAAAGUGGCAAAUGCAGUCUGGUUUGAGGCCAUGAAAUCCUCCCCGGUUUUCACUACAGUAUUAUCGGAUUUAAACGUGGCAUUUGAGGUUGAUGUAAGGAAUGUGUUGAUCUUUGUUGAUGGAUGAAAAAGCGGGUCCUC